AACGAACGCUGGCGGCAUGCUUAACACAUGCAAGUCGAACGAGACCUUCGGGUCUAGUGGCGCACGGGUGCGUAACGCGUGGGAAUCUGCCCUUAGGUACGGAAUAACUCAGAGAAAUUUGGAUUAAUACCUCAUAGUAUGUGAGAAUCGCAUGGUUUUCACAUUAAAGUUCCAACGGUAAAGAUGAGCAUGCGUCCCAUUAGCUAGAUGGUAAGGUAACGGCUUACCAUGGCGACGAUGGGUAGGGGUCCUGAGAGGGAGAUCCCCCACACUGGUACUGAGACACGGACCAGACUCCUACGGGAGGCAGCAGUGAGGAAUAUUGGACAAUGGGCGCAAGCCUGAUCCAGCCAUGCCGCGUGCAGGAUGACGGUCCUAUGGAUUGUAAACUGCUUUUGUACAGGAAGAAACACUCCCUCGUGAGGGAGCUUGACGGUACUGUAAGAAUAAGGAUCGGCUAACUCCGUG
rnacentral:rRNA from 1 species